GAUGAACGCUGGCGGCGUGCCUAAUACAUGCAAGUCGAGCGAACAGACGAGGAGCUUGCUCCUCUGACGUUAGCGGCGGACGGGUGAGUAACACGUGGAUAACCUACCUAUAAGACUGGGAUAACUUCGGGAAACCGGAGCUAAUACCGGAUAAUAUAUUGAACCGCAUGGUUCAAUAGUGAAAGACGGUUUUGCUGUCACUUAUAGAUGGAUCCGCGCCGCAUUAGCUAGUUGGUAAGGUCACGGCUUACCAAGGCAACGAUGCGUAGCCGACCUGAGAGGGUGAUCGGCCACACUGGAACUGAGACAGGGUCCAGACUCCUACGGGAGGCAGCAGUAGGGAAUCUUCCGCAAUGGGCGAAAGCCUGACGGAGCAACGCCGCGUGAGUGAUGAAGGUGUUCGGAUCGGAAAACUCUGUUAUUAGGGGAGAACAAAUGUGUAAGUAACUAUGCACGUAUUGACGGUACCUGAUCAGAAAGCCACGGCUAACUACGUG
rnacentral:rRNA from 1 species